rnacentral:rRNA from 1 species
AGAGUUUGAUCCUGGCUCAGGACGAACGCUGGCGGCGCGCCUAACACAUGCAAGUCGAACGAGAGAGAGGGAGCUUGCUUCCUCAAUCGAGUGGCGAACGGGUGAGUAACGCGUGAGGAACCUGCCUCAAAGAGGGGGACAACAGUUGGAAACGACUGCUAAUACCGCAUAAGCCCACAGCUCGGCAUCGAGCAGAGGGAAAAGGAGCAAUCCGCCUUGAGAUGGCCUCGCGUCCGAUUAGCUAGUUGGUGAGGUAAUGGCCCACCAAGGCGACGAUCGGUAGCCGGACUGAGAGGUUGAACGGCCACAUUGGGACUGAGACACGGCCCAGACUCCUACGGGAGGCAGCAGUGGGGAAUAUUGCACAAUGGGGGAAACCCUGAUGCAGCGACGCCGCGUGGAGGAAGAAGGUCUUCGGAUUGUAAACUCCUGUUGUUGAGGAAGAUAAUGACGGUACUCAACAAGGAAGUGACGGCUAACUACGUGCCAGCAGCCGCGGUAAAACGUAGGUCACAAGCGUUGUCCGGAAUUACUGGGUGUAAAGGGAGCGCAGGCGGGAAGACAAGUUGGAAGUGAAAUCUAUGGGCUCAACCCAUAAACUGCUUUCAAAACUGUUUUUCUUGAGUAGUGCAGAGGUAGGCGGAAUUCCCGGUGUAGCGGUGGAAUGCGUAGAUAUCGGGAGGAACACCAGUGGCGAAGGCGGCCUACUGGGCACCAACUGACGCUGAGGCUCGAAAGUGUGGGUAGCAAACAGGAUUAGAUACCCCUAGUCCACACCGUAAACGAUGAUUACUAGGUGUUGGAGGAUUGACCCCUUCAGUGCCGCAGUUAACACAAUAAGUAAUCCACCUGGGGAGUACGACCGCAAGGUUGAAACUCAAAGGAAUUGACGGGGGCCCGCACAAGCAGUGGAGUAUGUGGUUUAAUUCGACGCAACGCGAAGAACCUUACCAAGUCUUGACAUCCUGCGACGAUGCUGGAAACAGUAUUUUCCUUCGGGACGCAGAGACAGGUGGUGCAUGGUUGUCGUCAGCUCGUGUCGUGAGAUGUUGGGUUAAGUCCCGCAACGAGCGCAACCCUUACUGUCUGUUACUACGCAGGACUCUGGCAGGACUGCCGUUGACAAAACGGAGGAAGGUGGGGAUGACGUCAAAUCAUCAUGCCCUUUAUGACUUGGGCUACACACGUACUACAAUGGCGUUAAACAAAGAGAAGCAAGACCGCGAGGUGGAGCAAAACUCAGAAACAACGUCCCAGUUCGGACUGCAGGCUGCAACUCGCCUGCACGAAGUCGGAAUUGCUAGUAAUCGUGGAUCAGCAUGCCACGGUGAAUACGUUCCCGGGCCUUGUACACACCGCCCGUC